GACGAACGCUGGCGGCGUGCCUAAUACAUGCAAGUAGAACGCUGAAGAGAGGAGCUUGCUCUUCUUGGAUGAGUUGCGAACGGGUGAGUAACGCGUAGGUAACCUGCCUUGUAGCGGGGGAUAACUAUUGGAAACGAUAGCUAAUACCGCAUAACAAUGGAUGACACAUGUCAUUUAUUUGAAAGGGGCAAUUGCUCCACUACAAGAUGGACCUGCGUUGUAUUAGCUAGUAGGUGAGGUAAUGGCUCACCUAGGCGACGAUACAUAGCCGACCUGAGAGGGUGGUCGGCCAAACUGGGACCGGGACACGGCCCAGAAUCCUACGGGAGGGAGCAGUAGGGAAUCUUCGGCAAAGGGGGCAACCCUGGCCGAGCAACGCCGGGUGGGUGAAGAAGGGUUUCGGAUCGUAAAGCUCUGUUGUAAGUCAAGAACGGGUGUGAGAGUGGAAAGUUCACACUGUGACGGUAGCUUAACAGAAAGGGACGGCUAACUACGUG
rnacentral:rRNA from 1 species